CCUACGGGGCGCAGCAGUGGGGAAUAUUGGACAAUAGGCGAAAGCCUGAUCCAGCCAUGCCGCGUGUGUGAAGAAGGCCUUCGGGUUGUAAAGCACUUUCAGUGGGGAAGAAAGCCUUGGGGCUAAUACCCUCGAGGAAGGACAUCACCCACAGAAGAAGCACCGGCUAACUCCGUGCCAGCAGCCGCGGUAAUACGGAGGGUGCGAGCGUUAAUCGGAAUUACUGGGCGUAAAGCGCGCGUAGGCGGUCUGAUAAGCCGGUUGUGAAAGCCCCGGGCUCAACCUGGGAACGGCAUCCGGAACUGUCAGGCUAGAGUGCAGGAGAGGAAGGUAGAAUUCCCGGUGUAGCGGUGAAAUGCGUAGAGAUCGGGAGGAAUACCAGUGGCGAAGGCGGCCUUCUGGACUGACACUGACGCUGAGGUGCGAAAGCGUGGGUAGCAAACAGGAUUAGAUACCCCAGUAGUC
rnacentral:rRNA from 1 species